rnacentral:rRNA from 1 species
GAUGAACGCUGGCGGCGUGCCUAAUACAUGCAAGUAGAACGCUGAAGGAAGGAGCUUGCUCUUUCCGGAUGAGUUGCGAACGGGUGAGUAACGCGUAGGUAACCUGCCUGUUAGCGGGGGAUAACUAUUGGAAACGAUAGCUAAUACCGCAUAACAGUAGCUUUUGCAUGAUAUCUACUUAAAAGGUGCCUUUGCACCACUACCAGAUGGACCUGCGUUGUAUUAGCUAGUUGGUGAGGUAACGGCUCACCAAGGCGACGAUACAUAGCCGACCUGAGAGGGUGAUCGGCCACACUGGGACUGAGACACGGCCCAGACGCCUACGGGAGGCAGCAGUAGGGAAUCGGCGGCAAUGGACGGAAGUCUGACCGAGCAACGCCGCGUGAGUGAAGAAGGUUUUCGGAUCGUAAAGCUCUGUUGUAAGAGAAGAACGAGUGUGAGAGUGGAAAGUUCACAAUGUGACGGUAUCUUACCAGAAAGGGACGGCUAACUACGUG